rnacentral:rRNA from 1 species
UACAUGGGGUGCAAACGUUGCUCGGAAUUAUUGGGCGUAAAGCGCGCGCAGGUGGUUUCUUAAGUCUGAUGUGAAAGCCCACGGCUCAACCGUGGAGGGUCAUUGGAAACUGGGGAACUUGGGUGCAGAAGAGGAAAGUGGAAUUCCAAGUGUAGCGGUGAAAUGCGUAGAGAUUUGGAGGAACACCAGUGGCGAAGGCGACUUUCUGGUCUGUAACUGACACUGAGGCGCGAAAGCGUGGGGAGCGAACAGG